rnacentral:lncRNA from 1 species
GGUGCCUUAUUCUCCUGUUGUGAUGGUGGAGGUGGGCAGAAGUUGUGUGAUGACAGCCUCUGGAAUCAGACGGCCUGGGGCCACGUCCUAGCUCUGCCAGUUUUAAAAAAACAGCUUGAUCGAGAUCUGAUGAAGCAAGCUGCUCUUGGGAGCUGCCCUGUGAGGAGGCCCACACAGCAAGGAACAAAGGAGGAGCAACUGGAUCCUGCAACAAACAAGUGACUGGGCUGCUGUUUCCCCAGGUGAGCCUGGAGAUGACGGCCACCUGGCUGGACUUUAUUGCCACCUGUGAAAGACCUUGAGCCAGAGGAUCCAGCUGAUCCAUGCCUGGAUUCCUGACCCACAGAAAUCAU